UCUGUGUCCUUUGUUCCCUCCCUCUCAGCUCCCUGGACACAUCUACUGCCAUGAGAUGUCUCAGCCAAGGAUUUGGAGCCAAGAUACAAAGGAAAUUCUUUAACCAGAUGUGUGCCCAUGCCUGUGACACUGAAUUUUCAGAUGCUGGUAUUUAAAAAGAUUGCCAUCACCCCUGCCUCCCAGCAGCAAGGGAAGACUGAAGCCAUAGAGCAUGGGAUCCAACUCUUCUUCUAGCUACACGAGGGCAGUAAAAAUACCUACAGCUGCUCUGGAGCACUGGAACUUCCAGUUGUAUAUGUUUUCAGGGCACAAGCCACCUCAGGAAAGCUGCUUUUCAAAAGAGGCACAGUACCCAGCUGGUUGUUAGCCCAACCCUACACAGAAAAAAUAAAUUUAAAAAGAAUAAGUGCUCAGCCUCCUCCAUCAUUUGAUCUGCCCUUCGUGAUCACAAAGCCUGUUCUGAAGCAUCUCUGUGUGAGCUCCAAGUAAGUCCAUUGUAACUUCCCCUUCUACCCCUUCCAGCAUAAAAGACACUUCAUAGGUCUUUGCUCUACAGGACCACACUUCACAUGUGAAGGACUCAGAAAAGGCAAGGUAGGACUCCUGUAACAGCUGUAACUCAGAUGUUUUUGCACACAUAUUAUUUUUAGUUAAUAUAGAUGGUGUUAACAUUAAUGCCUUAACCCUUGAGGAAGCUAGCUAAUUUCCAGGUCGAUAUGACCAGGGAGCUGGCUAAUUUCCAGUGUUUUGGGGAGGGAGCCAAGAAGUGCAAUGCUAGGGUGUUUCUGGCUGCUGGUGUUCCUGAGUGGACCACAUCCGGGUCUGCACUUCAUCCUGGGUUUCCAGCACUGUCUGCCACCCCACCACCCUCUGUGUGCGCCACGGGCUAAAGUGUCUUUAACAGCAGGGCUGCCAUCACCAAGCUGUAGCUGCAUGUUCUGAUACUGUCACCCAAAAUGCCUAGAAGGGAACAAACUGGCAGCUUAUUAACUGAGCUGUACAAGGCUGGCAGCUUACAAACAACAGCCACCCUGGUCUAGGAGUUUAUGUGAGUAAGAUGUAGCAAAACAGUGACACCAUCACCCAUACAUGUUGUUACUGAACCAUGGGUCUAACCAGGAAAAGGCUGUGGCAAGCAGGCAGGAGAGGAAAAGGAGGGGGGGGAUUUCAAACACUGCAGCCCAGAGAAAGAAAACCUUGCGUUCGUGUUUACGUCAGUAGCCUGUCUGUGUGCUGACCCCAGGCUCACCUGAGCCUUGGCAAAGCUCCCCUUUGUUUUGUGUUGGCGUUGAGAAUCCAGAGUUAUCCACUACUUUGUGACCCAUUCCACCCAGACAGCCUGCCCAUGAUUGCUUCAUAAAGCAAGACCAGGAAUCAAAAACAGGGCAUGUUUCCUGAGCAGAGAUGGAAAACAGCUGUGCUGGAAAAAAGGAGGGGUUUUCUGGCUGAGCAGUGGAAAAUACAGAUCAAGGCCUGGUUGUGCAAUCUUCUCUGGCUGGCCUUUGGCUGCUAUUGUGGCAAGGGGACCAGCUGGACUUGGCAGGAGGCUGCUGCCUGGUGAUGGGGGUAGCAAGAGCCUCUGGUGACAAGGCUAGAAACCCAGAGCUUAGUUUUGCACGUUUUACAGAUGCUUGGGAGGCUGAAAACUGACAUCUGGUGAUGCUGCUCUCACCACUGUCCUGCAGUCAGAUCUGUCUGGCCAGUCCCAGAUGGUGUUUGAAUAGCCAGGCCUGUUACUGCAAAGGCACAGAGCUCUGUAGGGCUGCAGAACAGCAGCAUCUACCCAGGUGUGAAACUCAGUUCUGCCUAGUGCUCAUAAAGUGCUCCCUGCAGCCAGAGCCAGAGGAUGUGGUUAUGUUGUCUGGCCAGGUUCCUGUGUCUGAAUCCCCAGGGCCUGACUGGGGACUGUGAAGGGAGACUGACCAAAAGAUCUUAGAGCUAGAAUCUGCUGUGCCACUGCUGUCCUCUGAAAUCAAGGAAAGACUGCGUCUUGAUUUUACUAGUCUAAAAUGCUGCUUGCUUUAAGCAUGGCUUCUGGAAGAGUUCCUAAUUUUUAUCAAAUUCAAAUCUCUAAUGAAAAGGAACCAGCUGAGUCUGAUCCAGAGACAAGGGGUGCGGGAUCCUCUCUGGUUUUUUUAAAUCUAAUUAUUGUGUACAAGAAGGAGAGAAUGGGCAAGAACAGAGAGGGAAGAAUUAGGCCUUUGCUUCAGAGCCAAAUUAUCGAAAAAAUUAUCCUCUGUGCUGAGAGAGCCCUGCAACAACAUCUCUCCUCACUAAAAAGAAAGGGGCACAAUGAUGAGAAGGCAGAAGCAAAGGAAGUAGGCAGCACCAUGAAUCACCUUCUGGGCUGAUACAUGCCAGCUACAUUGGUCUCUGUUCUUAGCACCUGGAACAGCAGAAGACAGUAUGAUGGAUGUUCUUUACUCUGCAGUGUUGGAGCUGUGGCUGCACUGUAACUGCAGGGAGAUCGUGCUUUCUUACAACUGGCUCAGCUACUGAGCUGAAACAUAUGGAUCCAAACCUUGUUCUGCAGCAGCUUCCAACAGUGUUCAUCACUAAGACAGUACAACUGCAGGGCAAAAAAGCAAACCCAAAACUGAUCACUGCUACAGAGCCAUGAAGGGAAGAAAGGAAGGAAGAUGUGAUAUGGUGACCUGUAGCAGGAAGGAAACCGCAGAAUUUAAGCAAGAGCAGUGCCCAGAGGAGGUGCAGAGAGAAGCAAUUUUGUUCCAAAUAGCAAACUGGAGUAUUUAUGGUUCUGAGCUGGGAGCUGAGUGUGAUAAACACAUCCCAUGGAAGGGGUGAGAGACUUAAGGCUCGGCUAAAAGCAGCCAACCUCUCCUGUGGAAGAUCCAGUUUGAUUCUUCAGGUGCAGUUUAUGGGGGACUGCAGGAGCUGCCUCCCACAGCACAAGGAAAGAACAAGACAAAGAACAAUGCAUUUUGCUAUGGCAGUGCACCUGCUUUAACUAUUACUGGUUUAAGCCAGGUCACACUAAACUUGGUACACAGCAGGCUGUGACAAGUGCACACAAAAUCAAUUUGCUAAAACCUGGACAACUUUGCAAGACAUCCAGACAAAUAAAACUCAGACACACAAUAUUAAUAGUAAGUAACUGCUUCAGCAGUCCUAGGCCUUUUGAAAAUGUAGUAUUACUUGCAGAUGAAAUCUCUAGUGCUUCAGUUUAUUUUCAAUACAAAGCAGGAUGAAGGCAUAUUUUAGAAAUAAUUUGCAAAGUGAGAUGCUAGUCUUUUGGCCUUCACUGACCUGAAAUUAUUCUUUACUAAAAAAAUUUCCUUCAUUUUUAACUUCUUAAUGUAGUACCAGUCAUGAUGAUUCUUUUGAAACAAACAAACAUUCUCCAUCUUUAUCUACUCAGCAGAGUCCAAAUGGGACAACAGCGGCUAAAACAAAAUCUCAUUAAAAAAAAGUUGUUCCCAUGGAAAAGUUCCAAUUUUGAUGAAAUAUUUCCUGCCAAAAGCAAAAACCAAACCUAUUCAAAGGUUUGACCCAGUGUCUGCUCUUCAAGAGGGAGAAGGGUAGUGGAGAGGAAGCAAGCGAAUGUGGCUUUGGGAGAAAAGAAUUCCUACCAAUAAAUGGGGGUAAUGAAAGCAGAGGGAAGAAAGUACAAAUUCCCAGGCAUUCCAGACAUAUCUGGUAUCCUUUACAUCCUGCACUCUGCACUUCAGUUGUACAUAUUUCAGUGUUCCACUGUAGAGGCAGCUGCAUUUCAGUUGGGAGUUACUGUAUGAAGAAUUUUGUAUAGUUGUUACAAGAUCUUAUGAGAUGAAAAGGAGCUGACCAAGGCAAAGAAAGUAAAAUAGAACAUGCAAUCUUUUAACUAUGCUAGAAACCACUUAUGCCACAGAGAAAUGGGAGCCAGGAAGCAAAAACUUCCAGAAGAAAUUAGAAAUAAAAGGGAAAAACCAGAAAAAAUUACUGGUAGCUAGGAAAAGACUGCAGGCUCAUUACCACAUCUGAGAUGUUGAAAAACAGCCUCUGGUUUUCUGUAGCUCUUCAUCUGUUUUUCUGUUCAUUUUUGUCCUUCUCUUUAACCUUGCUGGGUAAAACACAUCUCCAAGGACAAAUAAAAAUUAUUUUCUUGCCAGUGCUGCUGACUUUGCAACCUGUCAGAAAACUGACUAAACUUGAGACUCCUUCAGUCAGUCACUUUAAAAUAUAGUCAGCAUUGUGUUAAAAGAAAAAAAUGAACUAUAUGAAUUCAACACCAGGGUUACUCUGCUGCAUAUUACAGCAUUCUACCGGGCUCUGGGAGAAACAGCACUGAGCUGUGAAUCAACUGAGCUGAUGAGUAGUGUUACAAAGUGCUACAAAAUAUUAGGCUUGCAGUGUAAUGAAGAUACUUUAUUUGUUUCAAUUAAACAGGUAUUUUACUAAAGAAUUCUUAGAUCAAAAAAACUGGCCUGGGAACCCAAAAAAAUACUAUUUAGAACCCAAGUUCAGGAAAUGUGAAUUAAUUUUGCUAGGGUCACAUUUAACCUUGCCAAGGAAAGAUUACUGAAUUGUAACAUUGGAGGGGUUGUAAUCUGCAGUAGGUGCUUCUGUCAUCAGUUGCAUUAAUCUUCCAUGAAAGCAUUUACCCCUUUUACCUGCACCAUAGGUGGGUGGAGAACUAUAGGAAACUUUUCUGCCUCAGCUUCCUUGCUGCUCCUCAUAGUUACACUUAGAGCCUAAAUAGUCUGGAGGGAUUUAUGGAUUGGCAGGUCCACCUACCAUCUAUUAUCUCUGGCAAAUGCUGCUUUCAGACUGUGGCUAGGACAAAACGGGAAUAACUUUUCAAAAUCAGCCUCAUCUUGCUCAGGGUCACAACAAAAAAAGUGAAAUCAUGAUUGGUCCAUUAUCCAUUGCCUGCACUGUUUCUGUGUGCCUGCCUGGCCCACACAAUUCAUCCUUUCUUAUAUUCUAACAAGUGUCAGAUUUUGGCUUAUGAGCCAAGUGUCAAGGUGCAUGAAAUGCAAGGUUGAGUGCCUUUUUUAGGCUGUGUAUGUGAGGGGGGUCUCUGUGAAGUAACUGGUUCAGAUCCGUGGGCAAGAAUAAAUGAAGAGAAAACAUGGAGAGAGUCAGCUAUAGGAACAAGGUGAACUCUAGAGCAAGAGAUGUAAUUUUUCAAUCAAGCUUUUAAUGAAAAGAUCAUAAAAUAACAGUUUCUCAUCACUGUACAUUAAGACUGCAAAUUUCUGAAUGCUGAGAUCAUAUUAUAAUUUCUGUAUCUUUUUAUAUGACACUUGAGUUGAAGCCACAACUAUUGUGGCUCUGACCUGAAUUCAAGCUCUUGAAGGAAAUGAACAGAACAUUGCAGCAGGAAUGUUGGCCUUUCCCUUGACCUUCCCUACUUUCCCCCUCCCCAGGAAACAUCCAGGGCUUCCAGGCUGACUGAUAGUUAAGGCUUAAAAUGAAAAAAAAAAAACCAAACAAACAAAAAACAAAAACCAAAAGGGGUGAUGAAACAUCCCUUUCUCAGUUGCAUCAAAAAUAUU